AGCAGCCGCGGUAAUUCCAGCUCCAAUAGCGUAUAUUAAAGUUGUUGCAGUUAAAAAGCUCGUAGUUGAAUUUCGGGAUCAAUAUGUCGGUCGUGCCUUCGGUACGUACUGGUAUCAUUGGUCUCUCCUUUCUGACGAACCAUGAUGUCAUUAAUUUGGUGUUAUGGGGAGUUAGGACUGUUACUUUGAAAAAAUUAGAGUGUUUAAAGCAGGCUUUAGCUUGAAUACAUUAGCAUGGAAUAAUGAAAUAGGACGUUCGAACCUAUUUUGUUGGUUUCUAGGAUCAACGUAAUGAUUAAUAGGGAUAGUUGGGGGCAUUAGUAUUCAAUUGUCAGAGGUGAAAUUCUUGGAUUUAUUGAAGACUAACUACUGCGAAAGCAUUUGCCAAGGAUGUUUUCAUUAAUCAAGAACGAAAGUUAGGGGAUCGAAGACGAUCAGAUACCGUCGUAGUCUUAACCAUAAACUAUGCCGACUAGGGAUCGGAUGAUGUUAAUUUUUUAAUGACUSA
rnacentral:rRNA from 1 species